GGGCCGUUAGCUCAGCGGUAGAGCGUUCGCCUUACACGCGAAAUGUCGCAGGUUCGAAUCCUGCACGGCCCA
rnacentral:tRNA from 1 species